UACGUAGGGUGCAAGCGUUGUCCGGAAUUAUUGGGCGUAAAGAGCUCGUAGGCGGCUUGUCGCGUCGGCUGUGAAAACCCGGGGCUCAACCCCGGGCCUGCAGUCGAUACGGGCAGGCUAGAGUCCGGUAGGGGAGACUGGAAUUCCUGGUGUAGCGGUGAAAUGCGUAGAUAUCAGGAGGAACACCGAUGGCGAAGGCAGGUCUCUGGGCCACUACUGACGCUGAGAAGCGAAAGCAUGGGGAGCGAACAGG
rnacentral:rRNA from 1 species